rnacentral:rRNA from 1 species
GACGAACGCUGGCGGCGUGCCUAAUACAUGCAAGUAGAACGCUGAAGGAGGAGCUUGCUUCUCUGGAUGAGUUGCGAACGGGUGAGUAACGCGUAGGUAACCUGCCUGGUAGCGGGGGAUAAUUAUUGUUAAAAAAAAGCAAAACCGCAUAAGAGCAGAUGUUGCAUGACACCUGCUUAAAAGGAACAAUAGCAUCACUCCCAGACCCCCCUGCAUGGUAUUAGCUAGUUGGUGGGGUAACGGCUCACCAAAGUUCCGCUACAUACCCCCCGUGAGAGUGAUCUCGUCCACACUGGAACUGAGACAGGCCCCGGACUCGUACGGGACCCAGCAGUAGGGUAUCUUAGGCAAGGUAUGGAAGUCAGACCGACAAACCCCGCGUGAGUGAAGAAGGUUUUCGGAUUGUAAAGCUCUGUUGUAAGAGAAGAACGAGUGUGAGAGUGGAAUGUUCCCGCUGUGUCGGUAUUUUGCCAGAGAGGGACGCCUACCUACUUUCCAGCAGCCGCGGUAAUACGUAGGUGGCAAGCGUUAUCCGGAUUUAUUGGGCGUAAAGAGAGUGCAGGCGGUUUUCUAAGUAAGAUGUGAAAGCCUUCGGCUUAACCGGGUAAGUCCAUCGGUAAUUUGAUAACUUGAGUGCAGAAGAGGGUAGUGGAAUUCCAUGUGUAGCGGUGGAAUGCGUAGAUAUAUGGAAGAACACCAGUGGCGAAGGCGGCUACCUGGUCUGCAACUGACGCUGAGACUCGAAAGCAUGGGUAGCGAACAGG